UACGUAGGGGGCUAGCGUUGUCCGGAAUCAUUGGGCGUAAAGAGCGUGUAGGUGGCUUGGUAAGUCCACUGUGAAAGUCCAGGGCUCAACCCUGGAAUGCCAGUGGAAACUGUCAAGCUAGAGUCCGGAAGAGGCGAGUGGAAUUCCUGGUGUAGCGGUGAAAUGCGCAGAUAUCAGGAGGAACACCAAUGGCGAAGGCAGCUCGCUGGGACGGUACUGACACUGAGACGCGAAGGCGUGGGGAGCGAACGGG
rnacentral:rRNA from 1 species